rnacentral:rRNA from 1 species
GGGGAAUAUUGGGCAAUGGGCGCAAGCCUGACCCAGCAACGCCGCGUGAAGGAAGAAGGCUUUCGGGUUGUAAACUUCUUUUGUCAGGGACGAGUAGAAGACGGUACCUGACGGAUAAGCCACGGCUAACUACGUGCCAGCAGCCGCGGUAAUACGUAGGUGGCAAGCGUUGUCCGGAUUUACUGGGUGUAAAGGGCGUGUAGCCGGGAAGGCAAGUCAGAUGUGAAAUCCACGGGCUCAACUCGUGAACUGCAUUUGAAACUGUUUUUCUUGAGUAUCGGAGAGGCAAUCGGAAUUCCUAGUGUAGCGGUGAAAUGCGUAGAUAUUAGGAGGAACACCAGUGGCGAAGGCGGAUUGCUGGACGACAACUGACGGUGAGGCGCGAAAGCGUGGGGAGCAAAC